rnacentral:rRNA from 1 species
CCUACGGGUGGCUGCAGUGGGGAAUAUUGCACAAUGGGGGAAACCCUGAUGCAGCGACGCCGCGUGAGGGAAGAAGGAAUUCGGUAUGUAAAGCCCUAUCAGCAGGGAAGAAAAUGACGGUACCUGAGUCAGAAGCCCCGGAUAACUACGGGCCAGCAGCCGCGGCAAUACGUAGGGGGCAGGCGUUAUCCGGAUUUACUGGGUGUAAAGGGAGCGUAGGCGGCAGUGGAAGUCUGGAGUGAAAGGCGGGGGCUCAACCCCCGGACUGCGCUGGAAACUGUACGGCUGGAGUGCAGGAGAGGUAAGCGGAAUUCCUGGUGUAGCGGUGAAAUGCGUAGAUAUUGGGAGGAACACCAGUGGCGAAGGCGGCUUACUGGACUGUAACUGACGUUGAGGCUCGAAAGCGUGGGGAGCGAACAGGAUUAGAUACCCGUGUAGUC